rnacentral:rRNA from 1 species
GAUGAACGCUAGCUACAGGCUUAACACAUGCAAGUCGAGGGGCAGCACAGAGAUAGCUUGCUAUCUUGGGUGGCGACCGGCGCACGGGUGAGUAACGCGUAUCCAACCUGCCCAUUACUCUGGGAUAGCCUUGCGAAAGUAAGAUUAAUACCGGAUGUUGUUAAAAACCCGCAUGAGUUUUUAACCAAAGAUUUAUUGGUAAUGGAUGGGGAUGCGUGACAUUAGGUAGUAGGUGAGGUAACGGCUCACCUAGCCGACGAUGUCUAGGGGUUCUGAGAGGAAGGUCCCCCACACUGGAACUGAGACACGGUCCAGACUCCUACGGGAGGCAGCAGUGAGGAAUAUUGGUCAAUGGACGAGAGUCUGAACCAGCCAAGUAGCGUGCAGGAUGACGGCCCUCUGGGUUGUAAACUGCUUUUAGUGGGAAUAAAAAGNGGGACGUGUCCCUAAUUGUAUGUACCAUCAGAAAAAGGACCGGCUAAAUUCCGUG